AUAUAUAUAUAUAUAUAUAUGUCCCUUUCUUAAUAUCUAAUAAGCUUUUAUUAAUCAUAUCCAUCAGGAAAAUACCGACAUAGAGGAAUUGAUAUAUGAAGCUAUAUCAAAUUGGGUGUCUUACCUUAACAAAGAAAAAAAAGAAUCAUUUCGGAAGGUGAUCCGAACUUCCUGCGAUCACUUGGUGUCCCUUUCGUCUGAUCUCAUUCACAUCCCCACACCAGAUACUCCUUGCCAAGUUUGUCAGGACCCAAAUGACAAUUGGCUCUGUUUAAGCUGCAAAGGGGUUUUCUGUAGCCGUAAUGUUAACAUGCACUUUCAAGACCAUUAUCGCAAGACACUUCACUGCUUAGCAUUUCAAAACAAAACAGAGAUUUAGUAUUUUGGUGCAACUCCUGCAAUGCUUUUUUAGAUGCGCAAGUGAUCGAGGAACUCCGUCCUCUCUACAUAAAGGCUUACAUACAAAAAUUCGCCCUAAAGGGUCCUUUAGCAGCGGCACGACAAAGAAAAAUACAGACCAGCUCAUCAUGUUCCACGGUUCAAUCCAUUGAGAACAAAGAGGACAAAAGCUGUGUAAUGAAGACGAAUCCAUCUCAAACCAACAACUCCUGCAACGGAGAAAUAACAUUUUUGAAUUGGAAAUGUAAAUGCGGGGAGACAGCAGAUUUGAAGAUAUCUGAAACAACAGAAAAUCCAAAUAAAGUUAUUUCUUGCUGCCCAAAAAAAGGGGAUGGUUGCAGUUUUUUUGCACGUUGGGAACGAGAUGAUCCAGCAUGCUCUAUUGUUGGGGGCUCAUCUUCGAAUCGAGAAAUUAGUUUGAAUUUUAAGAAUGCUGCAGCUCAAGUUCCUUAUAUUGGUGCUUCAACAUCAAACCCGGGGAUUCUUGAACGGAUCGUGGCUUUGGAAGCAAACGUUGCUGCUGGAAAAAUGCUUGUUUUGUUCAAUUUCUUGGUUGUGUUUCUGUGCUUAUUUCUUGUGGUCUGUGUAAUGGUUAAAAUUUAAGUGUUUGUAUUCAUCUAUCUAUGCUAAGUUGUUGGGAUAAUGUUCUUUUUUUCUUUUAUAUUAUUUUAGUAUGGAUGUUAAAAAAUGUUGAAAAA